GGGCUGAGAAAGGGUUUUGAGAGCAUAGCUAGAUUUGCACAGGUGGUAUUUUUGUUUUUCAAAAAAAUGUUUUUGCUAAGGGCUCUUUCUUUUCCUUUCUUAUCCUGUUAGGUGUCCUACUCCUUUUAUAGAAUUCAGUCAUAUUAAAUGCCAUUUUUGCUAAGCCAGCUUUUUUUUUUUCUAUGUUUUUUGGACCUAGAGUGUAUAAAGGUCUCAAGCAAGUAGAGGUUUGUUUUCUAAAGAAAAUAACCUUAUGAGAGGCAUCUGCUGAAUAGACAUGAGCCAACAUAUACUUUUACUAUUUGCAGGGGAUUUUUUUUUUUCUUCAGUUGAUGGUAGUAAUCCCACCAGGUGAUCAAACACUGAAUUUGUGAAUCAAGCCAGCAAGCCAAUGUCCCAGGACCUUUUGCUGACAAUUCCAGUUUCCAAAAGAAACAUUUGGGCGAUGGUGAGGGCUUCGACCCCUUCUCUGAUUUGCUGUCAACCAUGAACGGGUGGAUGUGAUGAUUGCUGGCCAGAAGGUUUACAGGCCUUUUUUCCCCUGCACAAGCCGGGAUUAUUCCAGGUCUCCAUUGCCUGCCCUCUCUCGGAUGUGUGAUGUCAGAGACUGGAUGUGUUGGGAAGCCCGGAACAUUUUUAUUUCUCGUGGUUGACCCCAUAAAGUUUCCCUGAUUGACCGUGUGUGUGCAUGACGGUAACAAACAUGAGACAUUGUUCUCUUCGGACGGACACGUUGUAGA
rnacentral:lncRNA from 1 species